rnacentral:rRNA from 1 species
AUGAGUCUUUGCCAAAAAGUUGUUAAGGUUAUGCUCUUUGACAACGCCCAAGGAUGAGGCCGCGACCGAUCAGGUUGUUGGUGAGGUAAUGGCUCACCAAGCCUUUUACCGGUGCGGGCCGUGAGAGCGGGAGCCCGGAGAUGGGCACUGAGACAAGGGCCCAGGCCCUACGGGGCGCAGCAGUCGCGAAAACUUUGCAAUAAGCGAAAGCUUGACAGGGCUAUCCCGAGUGCCAUCCGCUGAGGAAGGCUUUUACCCAGUCUAGAACGCUGGGGGAAUAAGGAGAGGGCAAGUCUGGUGUCAGCCGCCGCGGUAAUACCAGCUCUCCGAGUGGUGUGGAUGUUUAUUGGGCCUAAAGCAUCCGUAGCUGGCUAAGUUAGUCCCUUGUUAAAUCCACCGAAUUAAUCGUUGGAUUGCGGGGGAUACUGCUUGGCUAGGGGACGAGAGAGGCAGACGGUAUUUCCGGGGUAGGGGUGAAAUCCUAUAAUCCCGGGAAGACCACCAGUGGCGAAGGCUGUCUGCUAGAACGCGCCCGACGGUGAGGGAUGAAAGCUGGGGGAGCGAACCGGAUUAGAUACCCGGGUAGUCCCAGCUGUAAACGAUGCAGGCUAGGUGUUUGGACGGCCACGUGCCGUUCUAGUGCCGCAGGGAAGCUGUUA